UACGAAGGGGGCUAGCGUUGCUCGGAAUCACUGGGCGUAAAGGGCGCGUAGGCGGCCGAUUAAGUCGGGGGUGAAAGCCUGUGGCUCAACCACAGAAUUGCCUCGAUACUGGUUGGCUUGAGACCGGAAGAGGACAGCGGAACUGCGAGUGUAGAGGUGAAAAUUCGUAGAAUAUUCGCAAGAACACCAGUGGCGAAGGCGGCUGUCUGGUCCGGUUCUGACGCUGAGGCGCGAAAGCGGUGGGGAGCAAACAGG
rnacentral:rRNA from 1 species